GUCUAGAGGCUUCGGCAAUGGGCGAAAGCCUGACCGAGCGACGCCGCGUGUGCGAUGAAGGUCUUCGGAUCGUAAAGCACUUUCAGCGGGGAAGAACCGCGCCGGGCUAAUACCCUCGGCGUCUGACGGUACCCGCAGAAGAAGCUCCGGCUAACUCCGUGCCAGCAGCCGCGGUGAGACGGGGGGAGCAAGCGUUGUUCGGAUUUAUUGGGCGUAAAGGGCGCGCAGGCGGUCUGGUAAGUUCGGCGUGAAAUAUCCACGGCUCAACCGGGAACCUGCGCCGAAUACUGCCGGACUUGAGUGCAGGAGAGGAGAGCGGAAUUUCCGGUGUACCGGUGAAAUGGGUAGAUAUCGGAAGGAACACCAGUGGCGAAGGCGGCUCUCUGGCCUGUUACUGACGCUCAGGCGCGAAAGCCAGGGGAGCGAACGGGAUUAGAUACCCGAGUAGUCC
rnacentral:rRNA from 1 species